rnacentral:lncRNA from 1 species
AUGCAUACGUUGCCAGUAUGUCAAAACAUCUAGGAAUAAUUGUUUAUCUGAAUACUCAAUUUUUGAAAAUUGUGACAUUAAAUUAGAAGGAUCAUAUCAUAAGGAACAUUGUGUAUUAAGUUUUAAGUUGAUAGGACUUCAAUUUCAUAAAAAACUGCCUUGACCAAAAACUUCAACCUAAAGCGGGACAGACGGAGGAACGGACGCACAGACCAGAAAACAUAAUGUUCAUAAAUGGUGCUGAAAAAGAACUUUCACCUAUCUAAUUAACAUGUACACAAUUGGAGAAAAUGAAAGACAAAAUCUACGCAAGUGAAAGAUAAAAAAAGAAAUGCCGAUUGGCACAAAUACAAGACAAAUACGCAUGUGAAAUAAUAAAAAAAAUGAUAUGCAGAUCGGCG